UGUGGGAGCGAGCUUGCUCGCGAUGACGGAGUGUCAGCCAAGAUUUUUUUCACUGACACUCCGCCAUCGCGAGCAAGCUCGCUCCCACA
rnacentral:misc_RNA from 1 species